CCAAUGCUCUUAAUUUUCUCUGUAAACAAGCACUGGACGGACAUUUUUGAACGUUGCACCGUGUUUAUGACGCCAUGUCAAGUUUAAAAUAAUAGUGUGUCUUUAGCGGAUUGCCACGUUUUCUCACGAUAAAUCUGAGCUACGGUGUGAAAAUAUGGGCAAUGAAUCUGCAUGUUAACCCGGCUAACCUAUCUACAAAGCUCUGCUCAUGAGAAAUUUUCUAACUUACCACGGAUGUUCCUGAGGGAUUUUAUCACGCAUUGACUACAAGAGAAUGCAAAUGGCAUACACAGGCAUGAAUCUGGGACAAGAUGGCCAUGACCUGCAGAGGUCUCCUCUCUGAGCCGGGCGUCUGGGGAUUCAGAAUUCUCCACUGCUGAAGCUUAAUUAGCCCAGCUCUGUUGCCUGGAGAAGUGUUCAGUGCUUGACCUUUCCUAAAGGUAAGCGACCGGUGCGUGUUCAACAGGCCACAGGAAAAUGAGCAGCACCAAGGAGGAUUCUGACAAGCCCAACUAGGAGGGGAGGUGGAGAUGGUGAAGGCAUUUGACAGUGUCUCGUCUAAAGGAUGGACUAAUACUGCAUGAAGACAGACGUUUCUGGCAUGCUGUUCAUUAGGUGAGACAGUGUUGUGACACUCAUAGCCCUCUGAUGGCCUCGCUCGUUCUACAUGCCAGUCUCCGCUCUAAAUGCUGAAACCGCAGCAGGACACAAAACUGUCUCUGACUUGACAGCCGUGACAAGGGGUUGGCCUUAUCAAAUCAAGAUGGAAUGCUAAUUGAGAGGCUUUUUGCAGAAAACUUGUGAUGCAUUUGUAACAAACUGCUUUAGAGGAGAUCACAUCUUUUGUGUGUCAUGCACAAAAUCAGCUACAGCAAUCCUUGCUUCCCCUCGAUACUCCCACUUUUGAACAGAUCUCAGCAGGUAUUUCCGUCCAUUGACAUCUGUGGGAUUUUGGGUAUACUUCAGACUUUUUUCCCCC
ensembl:lncRNA